GCUCAGGAUGAACGCUGGCGGCGUGCUUAACACAUGCAAGUCGAACGGGAAAUAUUUCAUUGAGACUUCGGUGGAUUUGAUCUAUUUCUAGUGGCGGACGGGUGAGUAACGCGUGGGUAACCUGCCUUAUACAGGGGGAUAACAGUCAGAAAUGGCUGCUAAUACCGCAUAAGCGCACAGAGCUGCAUGGCUCAGUGUGAAAAACUCCGGUGGUAUAAGAUGGACCCGCGUUGGAUUAGCUGGUUGGUGGGGUAACGGCCCACCAAGGCGACGAUCCAUAGCCGGCCUGAGAGGGUGAACGGCCACAUUGGGACUGAGACACGGCCCAGACUCCUACGGGAGGCAGCAGUA
rnacentral:rRNA from 1 species